GGAAGGACAAGCAUGAUGGAUCCGACACAAGUGACAAAGGCCUGUUUUCAAACCUGGCACACGGGCUUUCAGGAUAUGGGCAGCACUCUGGGUACCCCCCACCACCCGGUGCUUAUCCCCCUCAAGGAUACCCUGGCGCAUACCCACCAGCACCUGGCGCAUACCCCCCACAGCAGGGGUACCCUCCACAAGGAUAUCCCCCACAGCAAGGAUACCCACC
rnacentral:misc_RNA from 1 species